GUAAGCUGUGAGGAGGAUUUAAGGACUCUGCAAUGCGAUAGGUGAAGUAAAUGAGCAGAAUCACUGAUGGAAUAUAGUGGACAAAAAUAGAUCUGUAUACCUGUACUUCAAGGUCUUUCGCUUCCAUUACAUCUCACCUCCACCACCGUAUCCAGAGAAACAGAUGCAGCUGGGAACCCGAGCAAACCUCCACAGCAGCAGCCAUGAGUCAGCACUAGAGUCAUCUCAAUCACCAGGAACCCAAACU